rnacentral:rRNA from 1 species
AUACGUAGGGUGCGAGCGUUGUCCGGAAUUACUGGGCGUAAAGAGCUCGUAGGUGGUUUGUCGCGUCGUCUGUGAAAUUCCGGGGCUUAACUCCGGGCGUGCAGGCGAUACGGGCAUAACUUGAGUACUGUAGGGGAGACUGGAAUUCCUGGAGUAGCGGUGAAAUGCGCAGAUAUCAGGAGGAACACCGGUGGCGAAGGCGGGUCUCUGGGCAGUAACUGACGCUGAGGAGCGAAAGCAUGGGUAGCGAACAGGAUUAGAUACCCUGGUAGUCCAUGCCGUAAACGGUGGGCGCUAGGUGUAGGGGUCUUCCACGACUUCUGUGCCGUAGCUAACGCAUUAAGCGCCCCGCCUGGGGAGUACGGCCGCAAGGCUAAAACUCAAAUGAAUUGACGGGG